GACGUAGGGGGCCAGCGUUGUUCGGAAUUACUGGGUGUAAAGGGUUCGUAGGCGGUGCGGCAAGUUGGGAGUGAAAUCUCUGGGCUUAACCCAGAGGCUGCUUCCAAAACUGCUGUGCUUGAGUGUGGGAGAGGCGCGUGGAAUUGCAGGUGUAGCGGUGAAAUGCGUAGAUAUCUGCAGGAACACCCGUGGCGAAAGCGGCGCGCUGGACCACUACUGACGUGAGGAACGAAAGCUAGGGGAGCAAACAGG
rnacentral:rRNA from 1 species